AGAAAGACAUCAUGACCUGAGCUGAAGUCGGACGCUUGACCGACUGAGCCACCCCGGAGUCUGACAGCUUUAAAAGGGGUUUUGCAUGUUUAAAAGGGUAGCAUGGCAUGGAAAAAUAUUGAAAGAAGUCAUGCUAAAACAGUCACAGUAUGUAUCUUUGAAGGUGGGAUUAUGGGUGGCUUUUUUUUCUGACUCUACCGUCUAAGUUGUGUGCAUUAAGCAUGUAUUACUCCCGUAAGCUUAAAAAUGUUGUUUCUUUUCUUUCUUUUUUUUUUUUUUAAAGCAUUAUAGGGUAGUUUAUCUGCUCAACCCUGAAAGAGCGGGGAGGCUUUUCUUGGGCCGUGCUUUAGUUUGGGAGGGAACCAGCUUUGAGGUCAUUGCUGUUCUGGUGUAGGAAAGAGAAUGAUGCCCUUGGGAGGACACUGUCCUAGAAGCUCCCCGAGGCUGCCUGGGACAGACGUGCCCAGCAAAGCCUCACAGGCAACCCUCCCAUCUUGCCUCUGCGGCGACCUGAUGGAAAGACAGUUUCCAAAUACAAAGCAAAAUCUAUUGACAGAGGCGUCAGGCCAAAGGCCUGCAGCCACCAAGCAGACUGUGGAGGAGGUGACUGGUCCCAGGGACACCCCACCACGCGGCCACAUUUUUGGCAUGUCUGUACACAGACUUUAAUUUAUUGCUGUCUGGGAUCACCCUCCCAGACGGAACACAUUUGUCCACUUCUGGCACACAUGUAUUCAGUGCAUAAUGGAAAAUUAAAAGAGAAGUUGCAAUUUAAAGCCACGGGGCAAGAAGAAAAAAAUCUGGGCUUGCUCAUCCACGCCCCCAACCCCAAACCACACGGGUUUCCUCCCGGGUCAAGGAAACUGUGGCUUAACUGAAUGUCAUCACUGUGUGGAGGGAAUCCUCCCAGCACAUAGCCACUGGCUGUGUCAGGAAUACGUGGGUGAGGACCAGUCAGGCCUGAGGUUGCUCGUGACAACAGUGAUCGCUGCUUUGGAAAAUGACAUCAACACAGACCACGUAGCCCUUUGGUUUUUUCAGACUCACCAUUCCGGUAAGGCUCUUGUAAUACUCCGAUCACUGGACUCUGACUGAUCUAACUCAUGCUACAAACUGAAUUAAAUUGAAAAACUUCACCCCAAUUCCAGUGCAGCCAGGGGCAAAGAGAGCAAGGCAGGUGUCAGUGAGUCCCCUUGCUCUGUGUGUCCCAAACCCGGGAAGAGACAUCUCACUAAAUGAUGUGGGAGAAGACUUCAGGCCCACUAAGCUUAAAUUUUAACCCCUUCUAGGCCCAAACCCUCCGUUUUCCCGCUCUUCUCCUUUUAAUCUCAGCCGCAACAUGCACCUCAGCCAGUGUUAGAACAAACAAGGAAUGAGGCCGCCCUUUCCUUCUCUUGCCCCUGCCCUCACCUCCUUCCCCUUCCUCCCAUCUUUCAAGGAAUCAACUGCGGUCCCAGUGGGAUGUGCUAGGCUUUAGGAAAUCAAUGCUGAAAGACAGGACUCACAGUCUCACAUGGAAGAUAAUCCCAUGAAUGGACACAUGCAACGUAAUGCAGGAAGUGUGCUCAUGGGAGAGCGUCACACUGCCCUGGGGGGUCAGAGCAAAGCGUGACAACCGGUGUUCGGCAGAAGGCAUUUUGAUUUACACCUUGAAGAAUGAGCUGGAAGUCACUGAGCCAGGGAGGACUGGAAGGGGGGAGCAAAUAUCAGGCAGAGGGAACAGCAUGGGAAUGGAUGUUCUCCUACAGCAGCGUGAGUGGGACUUUGAUGUUGGUCACUGAAACAUUUAUUGAACAUCUAUUGUGAGCCAGGAGCCAAAGAUUCAUAGGAAAGGAAGACCCAGUUCCUUCUCAGGAGGAUCUCAGGGGCUCAUGGAGAAGCUGGUUUCCACCGGGUGGUCCACAACAGACACAAACCUUGCAGCAGGCAAACGUCAGAAGCACAUUUGCUCUGGACGGUGACACUAAUUUUCUCAAGGAGGAAAGCCAGCUCCCAAGAUUUUCAUCCCCUUAUUCAGUGAAAGGAGGCAGACAGCACUUUCUCAAAAUCGAGGAUUUUGUCAGAAGAAACCCAAGAGCCAAAGGCUACAGGAGAUCUGAGGAAGCUCGCUGCCUUUGCCCUGACAUCCGGAGCAGAACAAGCUCGUGCUUCAGAAAUUCCCGAAAGACUGCCUCCGGGUGCGGAGAGACAAAGGAGGAUCCCAGCAAGAAACAGUCACUGCCCUCGAGGAGCAAAGACACUAGAGAGGAAAUAAGCCACAGUGAAAGGGAAAAUGGAGCGCUAACAUAGAGGCAUGAGUGUCUCAAGGUCAAGGACUGUGUCUUAAUCAUUUUUGAAUGCCCAAGCACUUGGCAGGGUGCUGGGCACACAGUAGGUCAUCAGCAUAUGUCUCCUGAAUAACUACAGAGGAGGACAUCUGUCCUUUGGACUCCGUGCCUUUCGGAAGACUAUUCACUGAGCGGCUCCUGCGUGCUGGAUUCUGUUCUAGGCACUGGAGGUGCAACUGUGAACAAGACAUAAAAACAAAACAAACAAACCAAAAACUCCUGCUCUCCGAGCACUCCGAGUUCUAGCGCUCCAAAUUCGUGAGUACGAAUUGAGAAGAUAACAUGUAGUUAUCCUAAAACAAAGACAAGCUGCAAGCCAUUUGGCAAACAUACAGGCUAUUCCCCCAAAUUAUGGGACUCGGGAAAGAGAGCUAAUUUUUAUCGAAUGCUUCCUGUCUGCACUAAUAACAACGCUUUUUGAGCACUUACUACGUACUAGACUCAAAGGAAGAGGAGGUCAGGCGCUUUACACAUUUCCUUUUAAUCCUCCUGACAACCCCGUUACCUCAAUAGUAUGGACGAGAAAACAGACUCCUAGAGAUGAGAAUAGCUUACUCAAGCACACUCUGCCUGGGAUCUCUGCACUCAAGCCUGACCCCUUUGUCAGACUGGAUGGUGGCAUCGCUCCCUUGCCUUGCCUACCUUCAUUCAACAGUCCUUCGGGGUUCAGCUUAAGCACCCUAUUCUUCAGGACAAGAGUCCUGACUCCUCACUAUUGCUGUGAUCCUUUCUCUGAACUCCUUAAUUAGAUCAUACAUAUAAAAGGUCACGACUAACCCCAGUAGCUAACACAUGGUAGACGCUCAAACACCACUUCGUUCCUACUUCCCUUCUUUACUGUGCUUAUGGCCAGAAGUGUGAACUUUUCGCUUGAUUAUAUACUUAUUAACUUGUUGUUCUAUAUGCAUUGGGCUUGUUUCCUUAACAACAUUAGCAAACUUAGGUAACAGCAUUUUAUAUUGACAAAUUAUACAUAUUAAUUUAUAUUUAUAUGUGAUAAGUGAGCUUUAUAAUACUUAUUUAAUAAUUGUUUAACAGUGGUUCUCAAACUCAAGCAUGCAUCAGAAUUACCUAGAAGGCUUGCUAAAAUAGAUUGCUGGGUCCCUACCCCAGAGUUCCUGCUUCAGCAGGCCUAGAAUGGAGCUGAGAAUAUGCAUUUCUGACAAGUUCUAAGGAAAUGCUGAUGCUGCUGGUCUAGGAACCACUCUUUGAGAACCCCUGCUUAGGAGUGUGAUGUACCACAGUGCUUAGGAGUUCGAGUCCUGCCUCUGCCACUCACUAGCUAUUUGACCUUGGGCAAGUCAACCUAUUUGAGCCUCUUUCUUCAACUGUAAAAAUGGGGAUAGCAAUAUUAUACACGUGAGGACUGUUGUGAGGAUUAAGUGUAAUAAUGAAUGCAAUGUGCUUAGCACUGUCCCUGACACACAGAAAACAUUCAAGAAAUGCUUCCUCUUAUCCCUGGAAGGGCUGGCAUAACAUCAGGCACUAAGUAAGCACUGAGCCCAGCCCGAGAAUUCCUUCUAAGGCUGAUAUGAAACUUGUUUUGAAUUUGUAAGCAGCGAGAGCGAAGGGUGUCACCCAAGCAUGACAUCUAUAAUUAACAGCUUUUGAAAUUAAGCCACACUAUUAAAAAGCACAACAUAAAGGGCCUUUAGAAAUGUCCCUCCCUACAGCAGGCUGAGUGUAAAUGCCUGGGAUACAAAAACCAUGUGUAUUUUUAAAAUUCAGGGGCUGUCUUUGGGGUGCCUCCUUCACACCUUCCCCUGCUGCAGGAUGCUGAGCCUGGUAACUUGUCUUCUGAGAGGCUGCAGUUGCUGAAGUCACCCAGCCAUCUGGGCUAAUGGGUUGGCAGACAUGAGCAGAGCCCAUCACUCAAUAAUUAAUUAGUUGCAGCCAUGGGAAGACCGACUCCCCAGAGCCCAUAGGACAAUCACCAUCCUCUUCCUUCCUGGCUGUUUCAAAGCACCCGGGCCACUGCUGCUCCCCCCCCCCCCCAACCCACCACCCCAGCUUUAAGAACCUGUUCACCCAAAACAAGAUUUUUAUUUUCCCCCAGGGUCUAACUGAGCAGUUAUACUGACCAACAGUUUCUUGAGAAAGCCCAAACAGGAACGUGCAGAGAAAACAAUUUUUAGACCUUGUCCUCCAGGGCCUGAGACAGGAUAGCCGGGGAUCUAGGGAUGGUCUGGCCUUAACCUCGUCCCAAUAAUAUAGGAGACCAGGGGCAUGGCCCUGUCUCUCUGUGAACCACUAAUCCGGGGAAUGCUGGUUCAAUGCAAAGUUGAAUGAGAUCAUCUGUGGUAUUUAGCAGAGGCUGCGGGCUAGGGGUUGUGGGGAGAUGCCGAUGCCCUUUGCAAGCCCCUCUCUUCCGUCCAUACGCUUCGCAGAAGAGCACCACCACCCCCUCCCAGCCCGUGGUACCCUCUUCUAACACCCAAAAUAAGGACGACCCCCCCCAUACCAUUUUCACUCCUACCCCCAAUUUCCUAAACAAAACCAUCCUCGCCAGGUGGUGUCUCCACACACGCCCUUUGGGGCACCACCCCCCGGCAGCCCCCUCCUGGGCCCGGAGAGGGGGGGGGUUCUCUUCCAGCGCCCUGGCCAGGCCCCCGCUGCGGUAGAAAGGGAGAGCAAGAAGGGGUGAGUGCCCUGAAGGCUGGGGGGACCCAGUCCUCAGGAGGUGAGGUGAGGAGGGGCUGGUGUCCCCGCAUCUGGAGUCACCAGCUGAGGCAGAAGGUUCCUCAAAGGUAAGAUCCACAAGGUGUCCCCCCCCCUUCUCACCGUUUCUUGUUGCUCAACCUCUCCCUCCCUCUGUGCUUCCUUCCCCUCCAUCCCUCCCCUUUUAUUUCCCCCUCCCUCUUUGUCUGCCUCUUCCACACCUCCGCCUGUUUGAACACCCAGCCUUCAGGAGCCCGGCUCGGACGCCGCAAAGGCCAGCUCCCCGGGGACCCUGGCCCCGCGCCCCCGCCCGGCCCCUCCCCUGCCCGGCCCUCCGGGCUCCGGGUCUCACCCAGAAGAGCAGGUUGAAGCCGAGCAGCAGACAUGAUGCCUGGAACAGUAGAACACUUUGUGGCUAUGAGGAAAGGCCAAGUGAAUGGCAGACCUGCCAGGAGAUCGUUGAGUUGCUGAGCCAACGCCAGCAGCCGUCCACCUCCAGAUCUCUUGUUAUACAGAGACAGAGCAUGAACAGGGGAGGGUCAGAGAGAGGG